rnacentral:rRNA from 1 species
AUGGCCCCGAAGUUUCAUGGUAUGCAACCGAAGGGGAAUAAGUAUUAUGCGACCAUUAGGAAGGACAUUGUCAUCCAUGAGCUUGGCCACUGGGACACCCCGGAGUUAGCGGUGCACGUCUAUAAUGCCAUGGCGGUAGAGUUCUAUCAGGAAGGGACAAUUAUGAACUUCCCUGAGUGUCAUGAGUACGCGAAGUUCCUCGCACCGGAGGGCAUGAGGAUAUGCACUAGGGCUGAGGAGAAGGAGAACAAACAAACCGAGAUGCAGUUCUUCGACUCAUUGGUGAGCGAGCUUGCGAGAGAUGAGAAACUCGUAGAGACCAACAAGAUGAUGCUACUUCAAUAUACAGCUAGGAAGAGCGUGGAGGAGGAUCCCAUAGAUUGGGAUGCCUUGGAGCGUCAGGAGGAGGGUCAUCAGGGGUGUCGUAGGUCCACCAGGGACGACCACGAGGCCGGUCCCUCCGGCCACUAG